UUUCCGUAGGUGAACCUGCGGAAGGAUCAUUAUCGUACAAAGUGUGAGGGGCAUGCGAGGGCUGUCGCUGACUCAAAAGUCGUGCACGCCCGAGUGUGUCCUCUUGCAUAAUAAUCCAUCUCACCCUUUGUGCAUCACCGCGUGGGCACCCUUCGGGAUCAUCUCGGAGGGGGGCUCGCGUUUUCACACAAACCCCCCUUUUAAAAGUGUAGAAUGACCACAUUUAUGCAAUCAAUACAACUUUCAACAACGGAUCUCUUGGCUCUC
rnacentral:misc_RNA from 1 species